GAGGCAAACGGGUGGGCCCUCGAAAUCCCGUUGCGGGGGGAUUCAGUCGGAAGGCCAGGUAGCCGAGCGGAGCGACCGACAGGUGUGCUGCGGAUGCACUGCUCGGCCCGUGUCGCCCGACGCACUUCCUCCCGCACAGAGGACGCCGCAGCCGGUCGGGUAGCAGCGAGAGUCGGCCAUGAGGACCGGCGCCGGCAGGUGGCGGGAGGCGCGUCCAGCACGUCGUCUUCCCGUUGUUAGCCAGUCGGUCCGAGGCGCGACACCCGACCGAGGAGAAGGAGCCCUCACGGGCUCCGGCCGCGCACUCGCCAGGCGAGCGGAGCGCAGGGACAGGGAGGAUCCAACUCGGUCGUAACCACCCUCGGGAGGUGGCUCGUCCUUGAGUCUCCCCGUUGGUCCCGCGCAGUCCGCGGCGAGCGCUCACGGCUGGCGGCGAGUAGGUCGGUCACCCACCCGACCCGUCUUGAAACACGGACCAAGGAGUCUAACAUGUGCGCGAGUCGCAGGGUCUUGAACAGGCCCGUGGGCGUAAUGAAAGUGGAGGCGACGCGACCGCCAGGUCGUUCGUUGCCGAGUUGGGAUCCCCGGCCUCGUGCCGGGGCGCACCAACGGCCCGUCUCGAUCGAUUUAUCGGUGGGACGGAGUCGGAGCGUACACGUUGGGACCCGAAAGAUGGUGAGCUAUGCCUGGGCAGGACGAAGU
rnacentral:rRNA from 1 species